UGGGAUCUUUCUGAUUCUGAGUUUCUACGUUGACUUUCUAUCUUGUAUAUAUAAAUCCAUAUAAUAUAUGCUAUCGCCGCCUAUCGUUAGGCUUUUUGUUGUUUGCGUUGAAUUCGUUUUCAUAGCCAUUUUUCCCCCUUAUGUGUUACUUGUAGAUUGGGUCAUAAGUGAUUCAAUUGGACUGGUCUGUUUCUCAUUUAUUUAUAGUUUAGUGUCUCAGAAAGUAUGCCUUUGUAUCCAUGUAAAGGCCUGUUCUUCAGUUGGAAUAACUUUACUGACGCAUUUGUUGGGCACAGCCUUCGGCUUUGGUUGUACUUUCAAACUUAUAGCCAACUGGUCCUCCACUUUGGGGUUUAGAAUAACAUGCAAAGCUCUUUAUCCAACAUACCAGACACUGAUAUUAGUUAUGGAAGUAUUUGCUCAGACUCAACCCUUGUGUUCCUUUAGCAGAGUGCAUUCUAGCUAAUGCUGUUUUAAUUCAGCCUGUGAUGCUUUAAUAGUUCUUUUUGUCUAUAUGUCAUGGUCUGACAGAGUCUGAUCUGUGACUUGAGCAAAACUUCAAGUUUAUUUAUUUGCUUCAAAGCAAUAUGAUCCCUUUUUAUGGCACUUGCUGUCUAGUUGCAUAGGGAAUAAUCAUAUGAUGGGAAUAGUAAUUUUUUUUAUUGCAAGGUCAAAAUGGGUAAUGAAUGUGCAGGCAUUAUGAAAAAUCCUCAUUGAAAUUCAAACGCAGAACUGUGGGUGUCCGUUUGGAUAUUGAAUUUGCAUAUCUUGCAAUUACAAUAUUGGUUUCAUUAAUUUGAGGUCUUUCACAAGAUCAGAUGAGUUUAUCAUCUGGUAAACCUUACGAUGGUAUAGUGUUCUCUUUGAUUGAUCUCUAAUGUCAAUUGUCAAGAUGGCUAGAAUGGUAUAGUUUUUCAUUUUGUAAUAGCUCCUGAUUGUGUUUGUCUUUUGUAGUCUGUGCCCAGGAGCUGAGUAUCUGUUGCAAAUUGUGCAUGAAGCUGUUCCAGGAGCCUAUUUUGAACCCAAUUCUUAUAUAGCAGCAGCAGAUGUUGCUGUUUACAUUCUUAAUCAGCUAUACAGAAAACUCGAUGAAGUUUGUCUUGUGCAAGGGGGAGGAUGCUUAUCGGAUGUUACUUUACAUAUUUACUGGGAGUCUACUGCCUUAUGUUGAGGGUCUUGAUUCUUGGCUUUUUGAAGGGACUCUCGACGACCCUUUUGAGGAGAUGUUCUUUUAUGCUAACAAAGGAAUUGCAAUUGAUGAGACUGAGUUUUGGGAGAAGAGCUAUCUGCUAAGGACAGCAAAAAUUAAAAACCUGGAGAUCGGUUCCUCAUCUGAUGUUUUACUAAAAGACAAAAAAGAUAUUACUGGAAGAGAGUCGAUUUCUACGAGAGAAAAAGAGGGGGGGGAGAUAGAACAUCAUGUUUGUCCUUUGUUCAUUAAGGACAUGGGUAAGGCAAUUGUUUCUGCUGGGAAGUCCUUGCAGCUUAUACGACAUGCACCUUUGCCAUCACUUUCAGAUGUACCUGCCGAUAACCAUGAGAUUAGGCAGUGUAUAGCUGGUUUGACUUUAUCAGAGGUCCUUUGCGUGUCAUUGGCGGCACUGAUUGGUCAUAGCGAUCACAUAUCUGAAUAUGUUUGGCGUGAUAAUUUGAUUGUUUCUUCAUUUGAAUCUUCUGUGGGAAAGGAGAAAGAAGAGAGAAAUGGCGAGAUUUUACCAUUUAUAUCAUCAGAUAAGGUCUGGUAUAAAAUCUUGGCCAAUGUAUUGGGGCAGAAAAGAGAGAUUGUUUCAGGAUCUACACAUAUAGAUACUGAUGUCUUUAGCUUACAGAAAGAAAAACUAGGUCCUGAUGGAGUUGAUGAUGUUCCUUGUGUUGGAACAUAUUGUCCUCAAAAUCCUGCUAUAACUGUUUGUCAGAGAUUUCUUUACGGGAAUAAGGAUGCUCAGAGUGCAUUAAGUUUGUCUAGAAAUUUGUAUCUUCCUCCUUUAGAUGAUAAGGAAUUAAGAAAGGCUGUAUUUUACAAAAAUAGUGGAUCUUGUUCUGAGGAAAAAAGCACAGAUUUUACUUUUGGCUUUUGGUUUGAUGAAUCUGAAUAUGUUCGUAGACAGGAAGAAACAAAAAUGUUAGAGAUGCUAUUUCCAUUUAUGACUUUGCUUCCAUCUUUUCAGGAGGACCUUCACAUGUCAGAGUUUUUGCCAUUUGAGAAAAAUAGUACCCUUCCAUCAAGAAUUCUAAGUUGGAUGCAGAGUGCUGAACCAAAGGUUACCCCACUUCCUGUUGUUAUUCUACAGGAAUGCCUUAUUGCCUACAUCAAGAAACAGGCAGAUUAUAUUGGUAGGAUUAUAUUGUCAAAGCUACUAUAUGACUGGAGAUUGCUGGAUGAGCUAGAAGUAUUACGCGCCAUAUAUUUGUUAGGUUCAGGGGAUCUUCUGCAACAUUUUUUGGUAGUGAUUUUUAACAAGUUAGAUAAAGGAGAAUCGUUAGAUGAUGAUUUUGAGUUGAACACCAUAUUGCAGGAAUCUAUUAGAAGCUCUGCUGAUGGCUCACUUCUGAGCACACCUGAUUCAUUGGUUGUGUCCAUCACAAAAAACUCUGAUUUAAGUGAGGAUGAACAACAUGGUGCAUCUAUCCAAAUCUCAACUCCUCGCAAAAGUCGACUACAGACCAUGGGAAUUGAUGUCCUUCAGUCACUAAAUUUUACAUACAAGGUCUCCUGGCCACUUGAACUUCUAGCUAAUGUAGAGGCACUAAAGAAGUAUAACCAGGUCAUGAUUUUCCUGUUAAAGGUCAAGCGUGCAAAAUUUGUUCUUGAUAAGGCUCGGAGGUGGAUGUGGAAGGAUAGAAGCACUGCUACAACUACUCGCAAACGCCAUUGGUUAUUGGAGCAAAAAUUACUGCAUUUUGUCAAUGCCUUUCACCAGUAUGUGAUGGACAGGCUAGGUUUAUUUGGCAAUACAAGUACGCUACAUGCAAGGUAUAUCACAGUGCAUGGCGUGAACUCUGUGAAGGUGUUGCAGCAGCUAGGUCUUUGGAUGAAGUCAUUGAAGUGCAUGAAUCCUAUCUUUUGUCAAUUCAGACACAGUGCUUUGUUGUUCCUGACAAGCUGUGGGCAUUGAUAGCCAGCCGAAUCAACAAUAUCCUUGGACUUGCUUUGGACUUCUAUUCCAUACAGCAGACUCUAAGCAGUGGUGGAGCAGUGUCUGCCAUAAAGACAAGAUGCGAAAUGGAAGUAGAUCGGAUAGAGAGACAGUUCGAUGAAUGCAUAGCUUUCCUUCUCAGGAUUCUAUCUUUCAAGCUGAACGUGGGGCAGUUUCCUCAUUUAGCAGAUUUGGUUACGAGAAUUAAUUACAAUUAUUUCUACAUGUCUGAUAGUGGAAGCCUGAUGACAACUUCGGGCUCGGAUGUUAUUACUUCAAGAUAGGGUCGUCCAAGUCAAGAUGGACUGGGUUAUUGCUCUGUGUGGUAUAAAAUCAACAGAAAAACAAAAAAUUGAUGUCUUUCAGCAUGGUGUGAUAGUUGAAUGAGGAAUUUAGGUAUCUCUGCAUCCUGAUAAGCUCCUAAUGCAGAAGCUGCAAGUUGAUAAAUUGAAGUUGGGUUGCUUUGCUUACCGCAUCUUGAAGCGCUUGAGAUUGGAGGAUCAUGUAUUUAAGACAGCACGCAUACUUUGUUUGAAGGAAGAUAGCAGGACUUCUGCAUUCUCCUACUGCUGAUGAUAUUACUAUUAGAGAUGAAAAUAUCAUUGGUUUAGCCGCUUGGUUGUUGUGAUUACAAUUUAUAUGCUGUCAUACGUGUGAUGUUUUCACAUCAUCACCUGCCAAAAUACUCUACCCCGCGACUGGAGCAAAAACAAGACAAUGUCAUCAUUAUCAUGCCAAGUUCAACUCGAAGCUGGAAACCCUACCCCCCGAAAACUAAUAUACUUGUUGAGAGAGUUGACAGGAUCAGUCCUGAACUAGAGGAUUCAAUACCGCUCCAGUAAACAGCACUGACCUGGAGCUCUCUUCCUUAUCAUGAACAUGAAAGGAUGUUCAGCCACAAAUCUCGUCUCAUCAUCUAAUGAGCAACCAAGUAAUCACACGCAACAGUAACAGCUGCUGCUUCCGUGCCUACCUCAUCUACCUCUAUAAAAGCUUUUUGAACUAUCUCAGAGACAUAAAAUGGAAAUCCGUUGGUGUCUAUGAACCCGGUUAGCUCUUUACAGUCCUACAUAAAUGGUAACUUUAGCACCAUAUCUUCCAUGGUUUGUCGCCCUUUAGAAGUAUGGAAUGCAAACUUAGACUUUGGAAUCCAGAAAGUAUCAUAUCCCCCGUACUUGAGCUGAAAAUCUUGUGUAAAGAAUCCCGAAUCAAGAGUUGUCUGUUCCAAUAGAUUAUGCAAUCCAUCUCUCUCAUUUGGAAGGA